rnacentral:rRNA from 1 species
GCACAAGCAGCGGAGCGUGUGGUUUAAUUCGAUGCUACACGAAGAACCUUACAGGGUUUGACAUACAGUAGUAGGGAAAGGAAACUGGACCGACCCUUCGGGGAGCUUGUACAGGUGCUGCAUGGCUGUCGUCAGCUCGUGUCGUGAGAUGUUCGGUUAAGUCCGCUAACGAGCGCAACCCUCGCUGUGUGUUACAAGUGUCACACGGAACUGCCGGUCAUAAAACGGAGGAAGGUGGGAUGACGUCAAAUCAUCAUGCCCCUUAUGUUCUGGGCUACACACGUGCUACAAUGGCCGGUACAGACGGAGGCGAAGCCGCGAGGCGGAGCAAAUCCGAAAAAGCCGGUCUCAGUUCGGAUUGCAGGCUGCAAUUCGCCUGCAUGAAGUCGGAAUCGCUAGUAAUCGCAGGUCAGCAUACUGCGGUGAAUACGUUCCCGGGCCUU